GCUCUCCACUGCUCCCUCCUCCCUUCCAGCAGCCACCACGCAGCCACUCUGAGCCCAGCACCAUGUGAGGUGCAGGGGAGAGAACGGGGAAAGGGACCGUGACCCUGCGCCCAGCUCUGGAUCUGGGGCUCAGACACAGAGUGACCACCUGACACCACGCUGCACAGGCUGCCCGGCGCUGUCGCGGAGCGCGGUGGCCCCACACAGAGGAAAUGCACGGACUCCUCCUUCCAGCAAACACGCGCGGAGGGGGGCCUACGCUCUGCUCGGCGGCGACAUCAGGAAACACAUGGAGCUCAUAUUCCAGAGAGAGAAGACAGACAAGGAACAAGAUAACAGGACAAUCGCACAGGAUGUGAGGAGGUGGCAAGGGCUACAGAGAGAACCUGAGAGGAACAAACUGCAACAGAGAACUAGCGAGGUUCCGAGAGGAAAGCACAAGUGAGCGAGGGGGGAGACGGUGGUGCCCUGCGUGUUAGCGAGGCAGCAGGCAGAGGAAGGCAACCGAAGAACGAACUUCAAAAGCAAAGGCCCAGAGGCCUGGCCGUAACCGUGUUCAAGGCUGAUUCCCAGCACUUAGCCCAGGGCUUGGCACAAAGCACUGCGCUAUGGGCUAACGCAGAAAGCAGUCCUGGCGGUUUUCCACGCCUAACUGCCCGUGUGCAGGGACAACAGACACUGCGUGAUCCGUGUGCAACGCAGAAGUUACCAGGUUCUGAAGGAAAACCUGAGGGGGCCGAAACAGAAGUCAUAAAGGACGCUCCGCAAAAGCCAAGCUGCCCCCCGAAAGUGUCCUCUAAUCCGGCCUCAACACAAUGGCCCGCUUAUGCACUCAGCGCGUGUCCCGCGGCCUAAGCAGCUACCUGUGUCCCCGGGGGCCGCGCAGGAACGUGCUGGGCCCCCAGCCGCCGGGAGGCUCACCCAGGUGCCCCGGUCCGCAAACGCUGGCUGAACCCCUCCGAGCCCGGCAGCGGGGAGCAGAGCCCAGGAAAGCUGCCCGGGGGCCUCAAUCCCCGGCGGGGCUGGGGAAGCGGGA